rnacentral:rRNA from 1 species
AUGGGAGCAAAGGUGUUGAUGACAUUGGCGACAAGGUUGGGUUGGCGCCCUCAGGGUAUGUUGCUGCCGUGGAGUCUGCAGGGCAGCAUGCGUCGGUCAAGUCUAUGGCCUUGUUUGACAAGUGUGGCCACCGAGCUUAGCCUUUCUACUUCUGCCUCCAAUGAGGUGUGGGGCAUUGCAAAGGGAUGCGCAUCGGCAUUUGAGGGCCAAAACACUUUACACGUCUUCAUCGAGCUGGUCAAAAGCCUUUCUGCCGUGCCUGCGAUCACCCAAGGGUUGAUUCACCUUGUCAAUGCAGUGAAGAUCAAGAAUGUCAACCAACUGGCAGGCGUCGCCUCGGGCGUGGGGACCGCAUGUCAUGAUGUUAGCCAUUAG